GAUGAACGCUAGCGGCAGGCUUAACACAUGCAAGUCGAGGGACCGGCAAACGGGUGCGGAACACGUACACAACCUACCUUUAUCAGGGGAAUAGCCCAGAGAAAUUUGGAUUAAUGCCCCAUAGAUAGAGAUGGGUGUGCGUAAGAUUAGCUAGUUGGUAAGGUAACGGCUUACCAAGGCGACGAUCUUUAGCUGAUGUGAGAGCAUGAUCAGCCACACGGGCACUGAGACACGGGCCCGACUCCUACGGGAGGCAGCAGUGAGGAAUAUUGGUCAAUGGACGAAAGUCUGAACCAGCCAUGCCGCGUGAAGGAUGAAGGCGUCUGCGUUGUAAACUUCUUUUAUCUGAGAAGCGGUAUCAGAUGAAUAAGCACCGGCUAACUCCGUGCCAGCAGCCGCGGUAAUACGGAGGGUGCAAGCGUUAUCCGGAUUUACUGGGUUUAAAGGGUGUGUAGGCGGACUUUUAAGUCAGGGGUGAAAUCUCCGAGCUCAACUCGGAAACUGCCUUUGAUACUAUUAGUCUUGAAUUAUGUUGAGGUUGGCGGAAUAUAACAUGUAGCGGUGAAAUGCAUAGAUAUGUUAUAGAACACCGAUUGC
rnacentral:rRNA from 1 species